rnacentral:rRNA from 1 species
GACGAACGCUGGCGGCGUGCUUAACACAUGCAAGUCGAACGAUGAAACCUAGCUUGCUAGGUCGAUUGUGGCGAACGGGUGAGUAACACGUGACUAACCUGCCCCUUUCUCUGGGAUAACGCUCCGAAAGGAGUGCUAAUACCGGAUACUCACAUCGAGGCACAUGCCUUGGUGUGGAAAGUUUUUCGGAAAGGGAUGGAGUCGCGGCCUAUCAGCGUGUUGGUGAGGUAACGGCUCACCAAGGCGACGACGGGUAGCCGGCCUGAGAGGGCGACCGGCCACACUGGGACUGAGACACGGCCCAGACUCCUACGGGAGGCAGCAGUGGGGAAUAUUGCACAAUGGGCGCAAGCCUGAUGCAGCGACGCCGCGUGAGGGAUGAAGGUCUUCGGAUUGUAAACCUCUCUCAGUAGGGACGAAGCGAAAGUGACGGUACCUAAAGAAGAAGCACCGGCUAACUACGUGCCAGCAGCCGCGGUAA